rnacentral:snoRNA from 1 species
AAAAAUAACGUCGACAGCGUUGAUUUCGUCCUGCUAAGGCUUUGUGGCGAGCUGACAGAGCUGACUCUUGAAGUCAACGGCUUUCUCCCGCUCUGUCCGCCCGCUCUUAGCCGUUGUUCUCUCUUCGGAGAGGACUAGCGUAGAGACGCGCUGUCGUAGACCAAUGCUUCGAGCACCCAACUUUAAAACCAUUGCUGUUGGAGGUCUGCUUCCCACUUGUGGGUCGAGCGACCACUGAAACGGUGAUGACCUGAGGCUUGGGAUAUUU